GGGGGUGAAUUGGAUUUUUAAAACUUAAAAUAGGUAUAUGCUGAAUUAUCUACUUUGCCUUUAAUAUAAUUGUACAGUGAAUGCAAUGUAUGAAUGAAAGAAUGAAGAAAAUAAGCACAUAUAUAAAGAUAAAAAAAAUUUUAUAAUAGUUCGGUGCACACCCAGUAUCAACGUCCACUCCUUAAGUAAGACUCUUGAGAAUUUCACUAUAAUCCUUCAAGAUUACAGCUUGAUAGUUUUAACUGGACUCACUAUCC
rnacentral:lncRNA from 1 species